rnacentral:rRNA from 1 species
CUUGGGGGAAUGUAUAGCAAUUGCUAUUUGCACUAAUGUUAUUAGUGUAAAAUUAACUACGUUGAAUAAAAUUCUGGAUAGAAUUAUGAUAAUGACAUUAUCUGUUCAUAAGUCUUGACCAAAUUACGUGCCAGCAGUCGCGGUAAUACGUAGAAGACAAGUGUUAUUCAUCUUUAAUAGGUUUAAAGCGUACUUAGACAGUAAAUAAAGCCUCCAAAAGGGACUAGUUUUCUAGAGUUUUAUAUGAAGGGGUUUUAAAGUACUACUGGUGUAGAGAUGAAAUUCCGUUAUACCUUAAAUGGCACAGGUUAAGGCGAAAGCAUCCUCUUAUGUAAAAACUGACGUUGAAGGACGAAGGCUUUGUGUCUCGAACAGGAUUAGAUACCCUAGUAGUCUAAGCAGAAAAUGAUGAAUGUCAUAGAUUAGAUUUAAUUUGAUCUAUAAAUGAAAGUGUAAGCAUUCCACCUCAAGAGUAAUUUGGCAACAUUGGAACUGAAAUCAUUAGACCGUUUCUGAAACCAGUAGUGAUGUAUGUUGUUUAAUUUGAUAACCCGCAAAAAACCUUACCACGAUUUGAAUAGAUAUAUUUUAUCAUACAAGCGUUGCACGGCUGUCUUCAGUUAAUGUCGUAAGACUUUGGUUAGUUCCUUUAAAUUAACGUAAACCCUUACUUUAUUUUUAUAUAAAGUAGUUCACCGCUAUAUUGGAUGUGAUAAUAGGGAUCAAGACA